rnacentral:rRNA from 1 species
CCUACGGGGGGCAGCAGUGGGGAAUAUUGCACAAUGGGCGCAAGCCUGAUGCAGCCAUGCCGCGUGUGUGAAGAAGGCCUUCGGGUUGUAAAGCACUUUCAGCGGGGAGGAAGGCGGUGAGGUUAAUAACCUCAUCGAUUGACGUUACCCGCAGAAGAAGCACCGGCUAACUCCGUGCCAGCAGCCGCGGUAAUACGGAGGGUGCAAGCGUUAAUCGGAAUUACUGGGCGUAAAGCGCACGCAGGCGGUCUGUCAAGUCGGAUGUGAAAUCCCCGGGCUCAACCUGGGAACUGCAUUCGAAGCUGGCAGGCUAGAGUCUUGUAGAGGGGGGUAGAAUUCCAGGUGUAGCGGUGAAAUGCGUAGAGAUCUGGAGGAAUACCGGUGGCGAAGGCGGCCCCCUGGACAAAGACUGACGCUCAGGUGCGAAAGCGUGGGGCGCAAACAGGAUUAGAUACCCUGGUAGUC